GACGAACGCUGGCGGCGUGCUUAACACAUGCAAGUCGAACGGAAAGGCCCUGCUUUUGUGGGGUGCUCGAGUGGCGAACGGGUGAGUAACACGUGAGUAACCUGCCCUUGACUUUGGGAUAACUUCAGGAAACUGGGGCUAAUACCGGAUAGGAGCUCCUGCUGCAUGGUGGGGGUUGGAAAGUUUCGGCGGUUGGGGAUGGACUCGCGGCUUAUCAGCUUGUUGGUGGGGUAGUGGCUUACCAAGGCUUUGACGGGUAGCCGGCCUGAGAGGGUGACCGGCCACAUUGGGACUGAGAUGCGGCCCAGACUCCUACGGGAGGCAGCAGUGGGGAAUAUUGCAAAAUGGGCGGAAGCCUGAUGCAGCAACGCCGCGUGCGGGAUGACGGCCUUCGGGUUGUAAACAGCUUUCGCCUGUGACGAAGCGUGAGUGACGGUAAUGGGUAAAGAAGCACCGGCUAACUACGUG
rnacentral:rRNA from 1 species